rnacentral:rRNA from 1 species
AGUGAACGCUGGCGGUAGGCCUAACACAUGCAAGUCGAACGGCAGCACAGUAAGAGCUUGCUCUUACGGGUGGCGAGUGGCGGACGGGUGAGGAAUACAUCGGAAUCUACUUUUUCGUGGGGGAUAACGUAGGGAAACUUACGCUAAUACCGCAUACGACCUACGGGUGAAAGCAGGGGAUCUUCGGACCUUGCGCGAUUGAAUGAGCCGAUGUCGGAUUAGCUAGUUGGCGGGGUAAAGGCCCACCAAGGCGACGAUCCGUAGCUGGUCUGAGAGGAUGAUCAGCCACACUGGAAGGGGGACACGGUCCAGACGCCUGCGAGAGGCACCAGUGGGGAAUGUUGGACAAUGGGCGCAAGCCUGGUCCAGCCAUACCGCGUGGGUGAAGAAGGCCUUCGGGUUGUAAAGCCCUUUUGUUGGGAAAGAAAAGCAGCAGGUUGAUACCCCGCUGUUCUGACGGUACCCAAAGAAUAAGCACCGGCUAACUUCGUG